rfam:Punica granatum cultivar Dabenzi scaffold532, whole genome shotgun sequence.
AUGCAUAUGAUGAGAUAACUCGGAUUCCCCUUCAGGACAGUAUGGGUGAUGCAAGCUCGAGUUUUCUGAUGCA